rnacentral:rRNA from 1 species
AAGAGUUUGAUCCUGGCUCAGGACGAACGUUGGCGGCGUGCUUAACACAUGCAAGUCGAGCGGGGCUUAGUGGAAAGUUUACUUUUUACUUAGUCUAGCGGCGGUCUGCCUGUAAGACAGGGAUAACGCCGGGAAACCGGUGCUAAUACCGGAUAACCUCUUUGGACCGCAUGGUCUGAAGAGAAAAGGUGGCCUCUUUACAAUGCUACCACUUACAGAUGAAUCCGCGUCCCAUUAGCCAGUUGGUGGGGUAAUGGCCUACCAAAGCGACGAUGGGUAGCCGGCCUGAGAGGGUGACCGGCCACACUGGAACUGAGAUACGGUCCAGACUCCUACGGGAGGCAGCAGUGGGGAAUCUUCCGCAAUGGGCGAAAGCCUGACGGAGCAACGCCGCGUGAGCGAAGAAGGUCUUCGGAUUGUAAACUCCUGUCUUCUGGGACGAUAAUGACGGUACCAGAGGAGGAAGCCACGGCUAACUACGUGCCAGCAGCCGCGGUAAUACGUAGGUGGCAAACGUUGUCCGGAAUUACUGGGCGUAAAGGGCGAGUAGGUGGUUUAUUAAGUCAAGAGUGAAAACUCCAGGCUCAACUUGGAGACUGCUCCUGAAACUGGUAGACUUGAGUGCAAGAGAGGGAAGUGGAAUUCCUAGUGUAGCGGUGAAAUGCGUAGAUAUUAGGAGGAACACCAGUGGCGAAGGCGACUUCCUGGCUUGUAACUGACACUGAGGCGCGAAAGCGUGGGGAUCAAACAGGAUUAGAUACCCUGGUAGUCCACGCCGUAAACGAUGAGUGCUAGGUGUCGGGGGUAUCGACCCCUCGGUGCCACAGCUAACGCAAUAAGCACUCCGCCUGGGGAGUACGGUCGCAAGACUGAAACUCAAAGGAAUUGACGGGGGCCCGCACAAGCGGUGGAGUAUGUGGUUUAAUUCGACGCAACGCGAAGAACCUUACCAAGGCUUGACAUCCUACGAAUCCUUAGGAAACUGGUCUUGCAAGUUUACUUGCACACGGAGACAGGUGGUGCAUGGUUGUCGUCAGCUCGUGUCGUGAGAUGUUGGGUUAAGUCCCGCAACGAGCGCAACCCUUAUUGCUAGUUACCAUCAUUAAGUUGGGGACUCUAGCGAGACUGCCAGUGAUAAACUGGAGGAAGGUGGGGAUGACGUCAAAUCAUCAUGCCCCUUAUGACCUGGGCUACAAACGUGAUACAAUGGCUGAAACAAAGGGCAGCGAAGCAGUGAUGUGAAGCGAAACCCAAAAAAGCAGUCUCAGUUCGGAUUGAAGUCUGCAACUCGACUUCAUGAAGUCGGAAUCGCUAGUAAUCGCGAAUCAGAACGUCGCGGUGAAUACGUUCUCGGGGUUUGUACACACCGCCCGUCA